rnacentral:rRNA from 1 species
GCAAAACGCGAAGAACCUUACCAGGCCUUGACAUGCAGAGAACUUUCCAGAGAUGGAUUGGUGCCUUCGGGAACUCUGACACAGGUGCUGCAUGGCUGUCGUCAGCUCGUGUCGUGAGAUGUUGGGUUAAGUCCCGUAACGAGCGCAACCCUUGUCCUUAGUUACCAGCACGUUAUGGUGGGCACUCUAAGGAGACUGCCGGUGACAAACCGGAGGAAGGUGGGGAGUGACGUCAAGUCAUCAUGGCCCUUACGGUCUGGGCGUACACACGUGCUACAAUGGUCGGUACAGAGGGUUGCCAAGCGCGAGGUGGAGCUAAUCUCACAAAACCGAUCGUAGUCCGGAUCGCAGUCUGCAACUCGACUGCGUGAAGUCGGAAUCGCUAGUAAUCGCGAAUCAGAAUGUCGCGGUGAAUACGUUCCCGGGUCUUGUACACACCG